rnacentral:lncRNA from 1 species
CCUAAGUACAAUCCUGGAGGAAAAUCCCCCUUGCUUGAUGACAAUUCCGAUUUUGCUUUGUGGAGAGUUGGUAUGCAGGAUCAUCUUAGGUACGCCAAUGAUGAGAUGUUGGACAUCCUCGAGCAUGGGUACAAUCCUGUAGAUCCAAGGUGCCUCACUCCCAAAGAAACUUAUGACAAGCAUCUCAAUGACACUGCGAUCAUGUGCAUAAGAAAAGGAAUGAAUGACAAGCAACGGAGACCU